rnacentral:rRNA from 1 species
UGGGGAAUUUUGGACAAUGGGGGCAACCCUGAUCCAGCAAUGCCGCGUGUGUGAAGAAGGCCUUCGGGUUGUAAAGCACUUUUGUCCGGGAAGAAAUCCCCUGCCCUAAUACGGCGGGGGAUGACGGUACCGGAAGAAUAAGCACCGGCUAACUACGUGCCAGCAGCCGCGGUAAUACGUAGGGUGCGAGCGUUAAUCGGAAUUACUGGGCGUAAAGCGUGCGCAGGCGGUGAUGUAAGACCGAUGUGAAAUCCCCGGGCUCAACCUGGGAACUGCAUUGGUGACUGCAUUGCUCGAGUAUGGCAGAGGGGGGUGGAAUUCCACGUGUAGCAGUGAAAUGCGUAGAGAUGUGGAGGAACACCGAUGGCGAAGGCAGCCCCCUGGGCAAUACUGACGCUCAUGCACGAAAGCGUGGGGAGCAAACAGGAUUAGAUACCCUGGUAGUCCACGCCCUAAACGAUGUCAACUGGUUGUCGGGCCUUCAUUGGCUUGGUAACGUAGCUAACGCGUGAAGUUGACCGCCUGGGGAGUACGGUCGCAAGAUU